CCGGAGUCUGAGGAAAUGCAGACUCUCUGACGGUACCGGAGGAGGAANCCCNGNCUAACUACGUGCCAGCAGCCGCGGUAAUACGUAGGGGGCAAGCGUUGUCCGGAUUCACUGGGCGUAAAGCGCGCGCAGGCGGUGAUGUAAGUCUGAGGUGAAAACCCGAAGCUCAACUUCGGGACUGCCUUGGAUACUGCGUCACUUGAGGAUAGGAGAGGCAAGGGGAAUUCCACGUGUAGCGGUGAAAUGCGUAGAGAUGUGGAGGAACACCUGUGGCGAAGGCGCCUUGCUGGCCUAUUUCUGACGCUGAGGCGCGAAAGCGUGGGGAGCAAACAGGAUUAGAUACCCUGGUAGUCCACGCUGUAAACGAUGAGUGCUAGGUGUAGGUGGGCUCAUACCCAUCUGUGCCGAAGCUAACGCAUUAAGCACUCCGCCUGGGGAGUACGGUCGCAAGACUGAAACUCAAAGGAAUUGACGGGGGCCCGCACAAGCAGUGGAGCAUGUGGUUUAAUUCGAAGCAACGCGAAGAACCUUACCAGGACUUGACAUCCCAUAGACCAGCUUAGAGAUAGACUUUCCCUUCGGGGCUGUGGUGACAGGUGGUGCAUGGUUGUCGUCAGCUCGUGUCGUGAGAUGUUGGGUUAAGUCCCGCAACGAGCGCAACCCUUACUUUGUGUUGCCAGCAUUCAGUUGGGCACUCACAAGGGACUGCCGCCGAUAAGGCGGAGGAAGGUGGGGAUGACGUCAAAUCAUCAUGCCCCUUAUGUCCUGGGCUACACACGUGCUACAAUGGGCGGUACAACGGGAUGCGAAGCCGCGAGGUGGAGCCAAACCCUGAAAACCGUUCGUAGUUCGGAUUGUAGGCUGCAACUCGCCUACAUGAAGCCGGAAUUGCUAGUAAUCGCGGAUCAGCAUGCCGCGGUGAAUACGUUCCC
rnacentral:rRNA from 1 species